rnacentral:rRNA from 1 species
UACAGAGGGGCAAGCGUUGUUCGGAAUUACUGGGCGUAAAGGGCGCGUAGGCGGCCCGCUAAGUCGAACGUGAAAUCCCGAGCUCAACUCGGGAACUGCGUCCGAUACUGGCGGGUUGAAUCCGGGAGAGGGAUGCGGAAUUCCAGGUGUAGCGGUGAAAUGCGUAGAUAUCUGGAGGAACACCGGUGGCGAAGGCGGCAUCCUGGAC